CAUGUUUCUGGAUGUCCAGCAGAGAGCAGAGUGUGGAGUGGAAGAUGCCUUCUACUUUGUCGACAGAUUUCCUGAACUUCUCCCAUACAAUGGACCUGAAGAGCGUGACAAACUUUGUGAGGAGUUUCUGGACUACCAGACCAUGGACAUUGCCAUGCCCGACGACCCAGCAAUGUUUGACUUUGAGAGAUUUUGGGGGAACAUGGCAUCAAUGAAGAACAAGGUGACCGGUAUGAGCAGAUUUGGCAGGCUGUCUUGUAUUGCCAAGUUGGUCUUGGUCAUGCCUCACUCCAAUGCUGAUGCAGAGCGAGUUUUCUCUGUGGUUGGACUAAAUAAGACCAAGACCCGAAACAGUUUGGCUCUUGAGGGAACUCUGUCAUCCAUCAUGACCGUGAAGAUGGCGAGCCUUGAGCCAGACUGUUUUAAGUGGGAGCCCCCUGCCUCUGUCAUCAAGGCAUCAAAAUCUGCCACCAACACCUACAACGUUAGACAUGCUAAAUGAUUGACAAAUAAAUGUAUUUUGUCAAAAUUCUUGUCUUGUUAAUUUCUGGUUAAGAGAGGUUAGGAGGCCACAGUGCAGAGAGAGCAGCUGGCAUGGAGGUGAGGACAUCAGUCCUAAGGUAUAAAUCAAUGUUAAAAAAGGCCAAUUUUUUUGGUCGGCGGCCGAACGCUUCUGACUCUAAAGUCUCACUCUUGUCAUUUUCUGAAACUUGGC